rnacentral:rRNA from 1 species
UCCGUAGGGGGUCUGUCAAGUCGGGUGUGAAAUCCUGCGGCUCAACCGCGGAACUGCACUCGAUACUGGCGGGCUUGAGUCCGCGAGGGGUGAACGGAAUUCCUGGUGUAGCGGUGGAAUGCGUAGAUAUCAGGAAGAACACCGAUGGCGAAGGCGGUUCACUGGCGCGGUACUGACCCUGAGGGACGAAAGCGUGGGUAGCGAACAGGAUUAGAUACCCUGGUAGUCC